AACCUCACCGACCGCAAAGGAUUCCUUCCGGUUGAUGAGGUAUAGCUUCCUCAUUGACUGGAAGGACUCUCCUUCGGUCAAUGAGGAAGCUAAACCUCAUCAACCGGAAGGAAUUCCUUCCCGUUGAUGAGUUC
rnacentral:miRNA from 1 species